rnacentral:tRNA from 2 species
GCGGCUGUGGCUGAAUGGUUGAAGGCACCAGCUUGUGGAGCUGUUAGGUAACUCUCGUUGCGGGUUCGAAUCCCGUCAGUCGCCC